rnacentral:lncRNA from 10 species
CCCGAUUCCGCCCCCUCUCCCUGCCCCCGCCCUGCCCCGGGCGCACGGGCUGCGGGGGUGGGGACUCUCCCUGAGGUCACCAGGGGCUCCGCCUUGAGGUCACAGCCGCGGGAGGCCGUGCUCGUGCUUUGGAGCUCCAUGUGAUGUGGUCGGUGGAAGACGUCUCCUUUGUCAGAAUCCGCGCUCAGAUUCCCGGAAUAGCUGCCAGACCGACCCCAGCGUUUAGCCCGGGAAGGGGAGAGUUUUCGCUGUUGUUGACCAGGCUGGAGUGCAAUGGCGCAAUCUCGGCUCACCACAACCUCUGCCUCCCGGGUUCAAGUGAUUCUCCUGCCUCAGCCUACUGAGUAGCUGGGAUUACAGGCAUGUGCCACCACACCCGGCUAAUUUUGUAAAUAUUUAACCUUUUGUCUGUAGCUAUCUGCUUAGGAACAAAAGGAAAGGCAGCUUCUUGCAUGACUCAGUUUUCAGUUUAUUUUUUUUCCUUUUGGCAUAGUCAACUGGAGUCCUGAGUUUUUAUUUUCCUUUCACAAAUGCAACAUUCUGGCUCUAUUCUUUGCUGUGUGGGGACCCAUUCAGAACACCAGAGUUGGUAUAACAAUUAUUUUAAGCCGAAGACAUUUCAGAUUCAAUAGAUGCAGAAAUAAACCUUCUGGGAGCUUUCUUCAUCUGAUUAAAACUUCUGGGAAAUGUCAACCUAAAGGGAAAAAUCUAAGGCAAACUUGAUAUAAGUAGAGAGUUUAUUUGGGCCAAGUUUGAAGACUGUGAAGCGAAGAUUCAAGUUGCCCUGAGUAUAUGCUCCCAAUUAGCAGAAGUCACAAGUGGGUUUUUAAAGGAGAAGAAGAGGCAGUUCCUAAUGAGGACUAAGCUCUGAUUUUUUCUUAUCUUGCUCAAAUUCCUAUCGAAAGGGUCUGGGGAGUCAUGCCCUACAAACCAUAAAUUCUUAUCAGUUGGGUUUUAUUUAACACUAUAUAUUGUGACUGCCUUUUCAGUCAUACUCUGGCAUAAAAUUACGUGAUAAAGAAGAAAGUCAAAAUAUUUUACCCCAAAACAUGUUUCUUUGCCAUAUAUAUAUAUAUAUAUAUAUAUAUAUAUAUAUAUAUAUAUAUGUUUUUUGGUUUGGGGUGGGGGGCGGGACAGAGUUUCACUCUUAUUGCCCGGGCUGGAGUGCAAUGGGGUGAUCUUGGCUUACUGCAACCUCCCCCACCCAGAUUCAAGGGAUUCUCCUGCCUCAGCCUCCCGAGUAGCUGGGAUUACAGGCACCCACCACCACCAUGCCCAGCUAAUUUUUGUAUUGUUAAUAAAGAUGGGGUUUUGCCAUGCUGGCCAGGCUGGUCUCGAACUUCUGACCUCAGGUGAUCCGCCUGCCUUGGCCUCCCAAAGUACUGGGAUUACAGGAGUAAGCCACCGCACCCGGCCACUUUGCCAUAUUUUGAAAUGGCCCUGCAAAGUCGUACCUUAUGGGGGAAAAUUUACAUCUGUAAAGAAUCUCUAAUAACACAGAUCUUUUUCUUCUGGGCCCUCCAAUCCUGAAGAGAUUAACUGAGAGUCUAGCACCUUUUAAAGGUCUGAAUAGGAAACAUUUGUCGACUGUUGUCUCUAAGGGCAGCCACUAAGAGACUUCAAAGAACCUUGGUCUCCACAAUCUUUUUUUUUUUUUUAAAAAUGGCGUCUCACUCUGUCGCCCAGGCUGGAGUGCAACAGUGUAAUCUCGGCUCACUGCAACCUCCGCCUCCCGGGUUCAAGCAAUUCUCCUACCCCAGCCCCCCGAGCAGCUGGGACUACAGGCAUCUGCCACCACACCCAGCUAAUUUUCAUAUUUUUAAUAGAGAUGGGGCUUCACGAUGUUGGCCAGGAUGGUCUCCAUCUCUUGACCUCGUGAUCCGCCUGCCUUAGCCUCCCAAAGUGCUGGGAUUACAGGUGUGAGCCACUGUGCCCGGCCUCCACAAUCUUUUAUCUUAACCUGAACAUUUCCUUUCUAUUGAUCCCAGGUCUUUAGACAAACUCAACCAAUUGUCAACCAGAAAAUGUUUAAAUUUCCCUAUAGCCUGGAAGCUCCCCAUCCCCCAGCUUCAGAUUGUCCCACCUUUCUUGACCAAACCAAUGUAUUUCUCAAAUUUAUUUGAUUGAUGUCUCAUACAUCCCUAAAAUGUAUAAAACCAAGCUGCACCCUGACCACCUUGGGCACAUGUUCUCAGGACCUCCUGAGGGCUGUGUCACGGGCCAUGGUCACUCGUUUGGCUCAAAAUAAAUCUCUUCAAAUAUUUUACAGAGUUUCACUCUUUUCAUAGACACUAAGUUGUUCACCAAGAAUUUACAUAAAAAUAACAUAAGCUAUUGAUUGGCUAUGCCUUGUUCUUUGUAUCAUAAAUCCCAGGAAUGUGAAGAUAAAGGGUGAGGCAUGUCUGACUAGGAACAAAC